UACGAAGGGGGCUAGCGUUGCUCGGAAUCACUGGGCGUAAAGCGCACGUAGGCGGAUUGCUAAGUCAGGGGUGAAAUCCUGGAGCUCAACUCCAGAACUGCCUUUGAUACUGGCGAUCUUGAGUCCGGGAGAGGUGAGUGAAACUGCGAGUGUAGAGGUGAAAUUCGUAGAUAUUCGCAAGAACACCAGUGGCGAAGGCGGCUCACUGGCCCGGUACUGACGCUGAGGUGCGAAAGCGUGGGGAGCGAUCCGG
rnacentral:rRNA from 1 species